AAAAAUACAGGUAAUGGUGUUCUUUGCUUAUGAACACUGUUAAUUGGACUUCAUAUAAAGUGAUUUAAUUUUCCCUUUUUGACUUGAAAUAAUGAUCUUCAGUAGGAUUUUUCUGAAGAGAGGAUGUGAAACUGAAUUUCAGAAUGUGUGCCCUUUGGCAAGUCACUUAACUGCUUUGAUCCUCCAUUCCCUUACCAUGAGGGAGUUGAACUGGAUAACUUCAAACCCCUUCCAGGUCUAGAUCUGUGGCAUUGUAAAUUUAAUUAAACCCUUAUUAAAAACCUACUAUGUUCAUGUCAUUGUGUUAGGGCUGACCAUACGAAUACACAAAGGUAACAAUUACUGCCCUCAAAGAGUUUAUGUUCUAUUUGGCCACAAGUAUCUUUCCCACCACUGAAUUCACGCAUAGUUACAUCGGAUAUCCCAGCCAUAUACAAUUUUGUAGUGAAAACGCUAUCAAUACUGUGAUUACCUUUUAUAAUUUUUUUCUCCUUCCUAUCUUCUGAGCAGCCACUGUACUUGAGAGGACUAUUCCAAAAUCAAGAAAUGGAACACUCUGAGCAAAGGAAUAAGAAUUAAGUCAAGCCAGCAAGCAUUUAUUAUGGCCUUUCUAUGUGCCAGUCAUGUUGCUAAGCGCUGGCAAUACAAAUACUAGCAGAAAAACAGACCUGCCCUCAAGGAGCUUACAUUCUAAUGGGGUAAAAGAGAACAAUAAAAAAAAACUGGAGAGUAAGAAGUUGGGAAAGAGGAAGAUUCAGUCAGUACAGAGGAUGACUUAGUUUCAGUCUAUAUUCAAUACCUGAGGAUAUCCCUGAAGAUCUUUGGUCAAAGUCUUCCACAGAUGUAGGUCUAUUGAAAUCAGCUACUCCAGUAAGGGUAAGGACUAAGGAAGGACCAGUUCCUUGUGUUCCUCAAUAUCCCUUGACUAAAGAAGCAAUUGAGGAUAUAAGACCAAUCAUUGAAUCCCUAAUCCAUCAAGGGAUCAUAAUUCCUUGCUUCUCAGAAUUUAAUACCCCUCUUCUUCCAAUCAAAAAGCCAAAGUUAGAUCAGAAUGGCAAAGUUGUAUAUCAUCUUAUAUAGGAUUUAAGAACAGUCAAUGAUUAUGUAAUCAAGACUCAUCCUGUCAUACCAAGUCCAGCUGCCAUAAUUUCUUCCAUCCCAAGUCAGGCAAAAUAUUUCAUGAUGGUAGAUUUAUGCUCAGCUUUUCUUUCUCA
rnacentral:lncRNA from 1 species